GAUGAACGCUGGUGGCGUGCCUAAUACAUGCAAGUCGAGCGAACGGACGAGAAGCUUGCUUUUCUGAUGUUAGCGGCGGACGGGUGAGUAACACGUGGAUAACCUACCUAUAAGACUGGGAUAACUUCGGGAAACCGGAGCUAAUACCGGAUAAUAUUUUGAACCGCAUGGUUCAAAAGUGAAACACGGUCUUGCUGUCACUUAUAGAUGGAUCCGCGCUGCAUUAGCUAGUUGGUAAGGUAACGGCUUACCAAGGCAACGAUGCAUAGCCGACCUGAGAGGGUGAUCGGCCACACUGGAACUGAGACACGGUCCAGACUCCUACGGGAGGCAGCAGUAGGGAAUCUUCCGCAAUGGGCGAAAGCCUGACGGAGCAACGCCGCGUGAGUGAUGAAGGUCUUCGGAUCGUAAAACUCUGUUAUUAGGGAAGAACAUAUGUGUAAGUAACUGUGCACAUCUUGACGGUACCUAAUCAGAAAGCCACGGCUAACUACGUG
rnacentral:rRNA from 1 species